ACAAAGGAGCUGAUCGUGGACUACAGGAAAAAGCGUCCCGAACAGGCCCCCAUUAACAUCAACAGGGCUGUAGUGGAGCGUCCCGAACAGGCCCCCAUUAACAUCAACGGGGCUGUAGCGGAGCGUCCCGAACAGGCCCCCAUUAACAUCAACGGGGCUGUAGCGGAGCGUCCCGAACAGGCCCCCAUUAACAUCAACGGGGCUGUAGCGGAGCGUCCCGAACAGGCCCCCAUUAACAUCAACGGGGCUGUAGUGGAGCGUCCCGAACAGGCCCCCAUUAACAUCAACGGGGCUGUAGCGGAGCGUCCCGAACAGGCCCCCAUUAACAUCAACGGGGCUGUAGUGGAGCGUCCCGAACAGGCCCCCAUUAACAUCAACGGGGCUGUAGCAGAGCGUCCCGAACAGGCCCCCAUUAACAUCAACGGGGCUGUAGUGGAGCGUCCCGAACAGGCCCCCAUUAACAUCAACGGGGCUGUAGUGGAGCGUCCCGAACAGGCCCCCAUUAACAUCAACGGGGCUGUAGCGGAGCGUCCCGAACAGGCCCCCAUUAACAUCAACGGGGCUGUAGCGGAGCGUCCCGAACAGCCCCCCAUUAACAUCAACGGGGCUGUAGCGGAGCGUCCCGAACAGGCCCCCAUUAACAUCAACGGGGCUGUAGUGGAGCGUCCCGAACAGGCCCCCAUUAACAUCAACGGGGCUGUAGCGGAGCGUCCCGAACAGGCCCCCAUUAACAUCAACGGGGCUGUAGCAGAGCGUCCCGAACAGGCCCCCAUUAACAUCAACGGGGCUGUAGCGGAGCGUCCCGAACAGGCCCCCAUUAACAUCAACGGGGCUGUAGCGGAGCGUCCCGAACAGGCCCCCAUUAACAUCAACGGGGCUGUAGUGGAGCGUCCCGAACAGGCCCCCAUUAACAUCAACGGGGCUGUAGUGGAGCGUCCCGAACAGGCCCCCAUUAACAUCAACGGGGCUGUAGCGGAGCGGGUCGAGAGCUUCAAGUUCCUUGGCGUCCACAUCACCAACAAACUAUCAUGGUCCACACACCAAGACAGUCGUGAAGAGGGCACGACAAAACCUUCUCCCCCUUAG
rnacentral:lncRNA from 1 species